GAUGCACCUUUACUUCCUGUUCCACGUCAUGCCAGCACACCUGUUCCUGGUUUAAUGACCUCCAUUUAGUUCCACCCGGGUCCCCUCCUUCAUUCUUUCUUUGAUACAUGACGCCGAGUGUGCUUCACUCUCACUCCACCUGCCAUUCUCACAAACCUGGCGUUUUUUCAUUUUUUUUCCAGGUGUGUUGGGGACAUACCUUGGCGUCUAGGACCUUCUGCCACUGCGGAGUCAGGUAGUACUUGAUGCCGUUGAUGGCGCCGUCCAGGGUGAUGCCGCGGAUGAACAGGAUGGUCAAAACCACGUAGGGGAAGGUGGCGGUGAAGUAGACCACCUAGGACUUGACGCCCCGGAUGAGGCAGAGGAAGACCACCACCCAGGACACGGCCAGGCAGCCCAGGAUGGGGAGCCGCACUUCCCCAAAGUUGCCAAUGUCGUCAGAGAUGUCCAACACGUAAUGUCUGAGAAAAAACAAACAUUUUCACGGAUCAUGUAUGGCAUUUGCUGGAAUUUAUUGAGUCCUACCUCCCGGACGCGGGUGGCUUCUGUUUUGUUUAAUGUGCCGUUUUACUGCCUUGUUACAGGCACCGUUUGAAACAACUAAGUUCUUCCCGCCCCCUACUGUGUUGUGCCACAAACUGAUGGGCAAACCUGCAGCAGAGGUAAGGGAACCUCCAGACGUUCCCCAGGCCCACAGCGUAGCCCACACUGGUGAGGACAAACUCGAUCUGGUUACCCCAGUUCCCUCUCCGGGAGUUCUCGUCCUUCUUCACCGACUCGCCUGGAACCGCUCCGUUCUGCAACGAGGAAAGUGAGGUCAGCUAUGACUGAGGGGGCGGGUCUUCCGGGACAAGAGGCGGGACUUCCGGUACAAAGAUCAGGAAGUUGCCGCAAUAGAGAGCAAUACACGGUGCUGGAGUGGAAAGAUUCUACGGCGCCGCAAACUGCAGAUAACUACCGAAUAAACACAGGCUUCUCUGCUUGUUACUGACGUCCCUUGGCUACAGGCCCCGCCUUUUAAAGAAGCCCUGCCUGAAGGAAGGGUGUGACGCCGCGGCAGACGGAAGCCGAGGGAGCGAGGUCGGCGAAGACGCUGUACACGUAGAACUUGGAGCCAAGCUUUUUUCGACAUAAAUGGAGUGCCUACUCAAAUAAACCGGGGUGGAAAAAAACGUCCGCACAGCCAUCCAUCAAAGGCAGCUGCUGCAACGCUGCAGACCACCAACAACUCCCCCUUUCAGCCACUUGACUCUUCCAAAUCCUCGUCUGUCUCCACAACCUGACAUUGCCAAUGUCCCCCCCCACACACACACUUUCAUGUAGUUCGGACCUUCUGGGGACCUGAGAAAAAUGCCUACCUCUUUAGGACCAGCCUUUCUAGAUUCAUAAGGAAGUGUAUUUACAACAUUAAUAAUAUAUACAUACUAUAUACACACACACACACACAUUUGUGUACUUCGUACCUUCUGGGGACCUGAGAAAAAUGCCAAACUCUUUAGGACGAGCCUUUCUAGAUUUAUUUAUAAAGAAGUGUAUUUACAACAUUAAUAAUAUAUACAUACUACACACACACACUCACACACACACACGCACACACACACACACACAUUUGUGUACUUCGUACCUUCUGGGGACCUGAGAAAAAUGCCUAACUCUUUAGGACGAGCCUUUCUAGAUUUAUUUAUAAAGAAGUGUAUUUACAACAUUAAUAAUAUAUACAUACUAUACACACACACACACACACACACACACACACACACACACACACACACUUUCAUGUAGUUCGGACCUUCUGGGGACCUGAGAAAAAUGCCUACCUCUUUAGGACCAGCCUUUCUAGAUUUAUAAAGAAGUGUAUUUACAACAUUAAUAAGAUAUACAUACUAUACACACACACAUAUUUGUGUACUUCCUACCUUCUGGGGACCUGAGAAAAUUGCCUACCUCUUUAGGACCAGCCUUUCUAGAUAUAUAAAGAAGUGUAUUUACAACAUUAAUAAUAUAUACAUACUAUGCAAAUAUAAAAAAAAGGGUCAUUGUGAAAAAUAAGUUGGAAUUUCACAAGAAAAAAGGUCAAAAUUUCACAAGAAAAACGUCGAAUUUUGGCAAUUUUAUAAGAAAAGUUGUCAUUUUACUCGACGCAAGUCAAAAUUAAAAUGUUUGCAAUGGUUUUCUGUAAUGGGACCAUGAUUUAUGUCUUAACUUGUUCACACCUUCUCAUAUGGAAGAAGGGUAGAAAUACAAGAAUACACACACACACGCACGCACACAUUUGUGUACUUCGUACCUUCUGGGGACCUGAGAAAAAUGCCUACCUCUUUAGGACCAGCCUUUCUAUAUAUAUAAAGAAGUGUAUUUACAACAUUAAUAAUAUAUACAUACUAUGCAUUUAUAAAAAAAGCUCGUUGUGAAAAAUGAGUUCGAAUUUCGCGAGAAAAGGGUCACAAUUUCACAAGAAAAUCUUGGAAUUUUGGCAGUAUUUUAAUAAAAGUUGUCAUUUUACU